UACGGAGGAUGCAAGCGUUAUCCGGGAUGAUUGGGCGUAAAGCGUCCGCAGGUGGCUGUGUAAGUCUGCUGUCAAGGAGCGAAGCUCAACUUCGUAAAGGCAGUGGAAACUACACGGCUAGAGUGCGUUCGGGGCAGAGGGAAUUCCUGGUGUAGCGGUGAAAUGCGUAGAGAUCAGGAAGAACACCGGUGGCGAAGGCGCUCUGCUAGGCCGCAACUGACACUGAGGGACGAAAGCUAGGGGAGCGAAUGGG
rnacentral:rRNA from 1 species